UCCAAAAAGUGGGUGAGGUAG
rnacentral:piRNA from 1 species